rnacentral:rRNA from 1 species
AUGGCGGGCAUGCUCUGCGUCGCCCUCCUCCUGGCGUCCCUGGUCUGGCCAGCCGCGCUCACGGCCGGCUCCGCGGGAGAUGGCCGCCGGCAGCAGCAGCAGCUCACCGCGCUGCCGCCGAGGGGAUGGAACUCGUACGACUCCUUCUCGUGGAUCAUCGGCGAGGCCGCGUUCCUCGACAACGCGCGGAUCAUGGCCAACAGGCUGCUCCCGCAUGGAUACCAGUACGCGGUGAUAGACUUCCUGUGGUACCGGAGGAUCGCCGCCGGCUCGGGGGUGGGCGCGUACGGCUUCGACAGCAUGGACCAGUGGGGGCGCCCGUACCCUGACCCCCAGAGGUUCCCGUCGGGCCGAGGCGGCGGAGGAUUCAGGCCCAUCGCCGAUAAGGUCCAUGCCAUGGGCUUGAAGUUCGGCAUCCACCUCAUGAAUGGGAUCAGCACCCAGGCCGUCAACGCCAACACGCCCAUCCUCGACGUCCGCACGGGAAAAGCCUAUGUAGAGAAUGGCCGACAAUGGAGGGCGCGUGACAUAGGCCUCACCCACAGGACAUGUGCGUGGAUGCCAAAAGGAUUUAUGAGUGUAAAUACCGACCUGGGAGCUGGACGAGCAUUCCUAAGGUCUCUCUACCGACAGUAUGCCGACUGGGGCGUCGAUUUCGUGAAGCUAGAUUGCAUCUUCGGCGCGGAUUACAGCCCGAAAGAGAUUGUGACCGUCUCAGAGAUCCUGAAAGAGCUUGAGAGACCAGUCGUCCUAUCCAUCUCCCCCGGAACCGCUGUCACUCCAGCAUUAGCUGAGAAUAUCACACAACAUGUUGACAUGUACAGGGUAACAGGAGAUGAUUGGGACAGCUGGAAAGAUGUUCGCCCACAUUUCGAUGUCGCCAGAUCCUUUGCUGCUGCGAAUAAGAUCGGCGCCCCAGGACUGCGAGGAAGGUCCUGGCCAGACUUAGACAUGCUUCCAUUUGGCUGGCUUACUGAUGCAGGUGCUAAUCAGGGCCCUCACAGAACCACUAGCCUUACAUUUGACGAACAAACAACACAGAUGGGACUUUGGUCAAUGGCUAAAUCACCGCUCAUGUAUGGUGGGGACUUGAGGCAUCUCGACGAUCGCACAUUCAAUCUAAUUACCCACCCUACUCUCCUGAAGAUAAAUCACCACAGCAGAAACAACAUGGAGUUUGGUUAUAUUCAUAGUGAGAGGGCUUCAAAGCCAGAUGAACAAUCCGGUCGCUCAAAGUCCGGAUAUCCGGUGGACGUGACAAACAAUGGUGGAAUGGUUCUUGGUCUCGGUACAUGCAGCGAUAAGAGCGCCGUUGGAUGGCACCGUUCCUCAGAAGAUCGCAUUUGCAGAAGCCAUGGAAUCCAGAAUGGCAAUGCCUCAUUUUGCAUAUCCAAAGCAAAACUUCUUCCAACAUCGGAUGGAGUUACCAUGAGCAGUGGGGAAGACCAAGCAAAGUUUCAUCUGACAGGUAUUGACACCGAUGAUGGUUGCUUGGAUGCAUCUGUCAGUCCAUGGCGAACAAGCUCAGCGAGCCAAACUCCCAUGUUCUCGGCCUGCGAACAGCAUACAAAGCAGGUCUGGGAGCUAACAGAGAAUGGACAGCUUGUAAGCAGCUACUCGGGAUUGUGUGCUACAAUGCGGUCCAACAAGGAAGGAGAGAAUGAAACUACCGGAGCACGAGCAUGGACAGCAAUUGGAGACAAAGGAGAGAUCUACGUGGCCAUCUUCAACCUCGACACUGCGAGGAGGAAGAUCACUGUAAGCGUGCCGGAUCUAGAAAAGGUUGUCGGGAGAAAGUUGGCAAGGUGCACCUGCACAGAAGUCUGGAGUAGAAAGAGAUGGAGUGUGAUGAAGGGGGGCAUCUCAGCGGUGGUGGCCUCACAUGGCUCCAUGUUGUUUGAAAUCCAGUGUUGA